GUCUGUGUUGGUCUGUGAAUGGGGCAGGAUCCGACGCCUCCUGAAGGCUACAUAGGCUCUCCUAUCUAACUCAUAUUCUGGUAUGUCCAAGCCAUACAGACCGUGUACGGGUUCAAUCCCAACCCCCUGGGAGGAUGGGGUUGCACGGCUAAUGUAGAAGGG
rnacentral:ribozyme from 1 species